UAUUCUACACUGUGCUUUAUUACUGGGCUUAAGCGGAAACUCGUCAUUCAGUAAAAUUACAAAAGAUAGUCUAGGGACAAGAGAAAGGUGGAGUUAAGAACAGGGCAAGAGCUGCAGCAGUACUCCGACUGCUAAUACAACUCAAUCUCAUUGUAAUAGGCUUGGCAUAAAUCCACAGAUACCACCCAGCACGCUCAAAUGUGCUCAAAAUGUCUGAAAAUGUUUUUUUUUUCUUCUCUUUUUUUUAAACCCCAUUUUACUGCAUUGUUCCUUGUAAGUUCAGACUCUUUCUGAUGAGUUGCUGAGAGUCUGAUGGAUUAGUGCAGUUUUUCUUCCUUAUUUUUUUCCCAGUGUUUGAAAAAGCAGUGAAGCAAAUCGGAGUUCUGACAGACGCAUGGAAUCGCAGAACAGAAGAAAACAGCAGACAGUUCUAACAGGUGCAGCGAAAACUUUUGACACCAGUCCUUCAUGAGUUCUACAUUCUCCAUAAAGGAUUACCCUGAUUCUGCCAGUUGCAUUGUUCCAUUGUGUCUCACAAUACAAAAACAUGUAAAAAAUAUAUAUUUUAAAAAGAAUCGUUUAAAUGACAAAAUGAUAUUCAGUGCAGUUACAAACAUAAAAAUUUCAACCAUGUAAAUGAUAAAAGUACAUAGUAUUUUA